GGUUUCAGUCACGUGACUUCUACGACGCGCGAAAUUCAAGUGGAGGUCAGGAAGUGAAAACGCAAUCAUUCAUCAACGCAGGAAUCAUGGAGGACACCGACUAUGUCAAACAAUUAAAUGAACCUGCACGCCGCAGAUAUCGUGAAAAAAUCACAACACACUCACAAUGUCUAUUAUGUCCUAUAACGGAGGGGCCGUCAUGGCCAUGCGAGGGAAGAACUGUGUGGCGAUAGCAGCGGACCGGAGGUUUGGCAUCCAGGCUCAGAUGGUCACCAUAGACUUCCAGAAGAUCUUCCCCAUGGGAGAUAAGCUGUAUAUUGGGCUGGCAGGACUGGCCACUGAUUUUCAGACAGUGUGAGUGUGUAGACCUCCACCUUGUUCUCUCAAAGUGGCUAAACAGUUGUGAACACCAGGGUACUAUGAUGACAGGAUUGAUUUACAACUCUAUAAAGCUACAACUCUCAGAUCUAGACUAAGUAAGACUUCUCAUUUAGAGAAAGCCUGGAGUGUCAAGUACAAUACUACACCUAUAAUGUUUAUACCAACAACAAAAGUGUUGUAGUUGAAUAGUAUUACUAUGCAUUCUAAUAAAUAGGGGAGAAAACGUUAUUAGAAAUUCUGCUAUCCAUAGCUUUGAAAUAAGUUACAUUUGUGAUGACUGAAUUCAAUGUAAAUAUCUGAGGAUUGAUGGACGUCUUUGCCAGAGGCUUAAAUUCAGACUGAACCUGUACGAGCUGAAGGAGGGUCGCCAGAUCAAGCCCAAGACCUUCAUGAGCAUGGUGUCCAACCUGUUGUACGAGAAGAGGUUUUGGCCAUACUACAUCGAGCCUCGCCGGAAUAGA